UCCCUAAAUCUCUUUUUCUUCCUAUACGUGCCUCUCUCCUCUCAGUCGCCUCCUUCAUCUUUCUCUCUAUUUCUCUCAAAUCGUCUCCUCUAUCCUCCUCUCUCACUUCCAUGGGAGACCACGACUAGACUCAUGGUGACAUGCGGUGGCUCACAACGAUGAUGUGCGGUGGUUUGCAGAGGCGGCAUAUGGUAGUCACAACAACGAUUGGUCAACGGUGGGCUGAAAGGUGAGGCUGAAUAACCCCUUUUUUUUUGUUGGGGUGGAACAAUUCAAAAUCAUGUCAUUGUGCACACACCAGUCUCUGGUUGGUCUAUCUUCAUUGUUUGGCUGCAAUAAGCUUGAGCACCAAAACCAGUCCCGGAGCCGUUUGUUCGCCACGCCGUUGCUUUUCCAUGGAAGCCGAAGAAGAUUGACAGAUGGAGCUAGCUCGGUGGGUAGUGCUCUGCCCACUGUUCUUGAGAAUCCAAGCCCACCCAAAUCAUCCUUCAAUGAGUUGAUUGAAUCAUUGAUAAGUCGUGUGGAUUUAUUAGAAUCAGAGGCUGAAGUGUCACUCAAUUUUUUGCUGAAUGGUGCUGAUGAGGCUUUGAUUAGUGCUUUUAUAGUGUUAUUGAGAGCCAAAGGAGAGACUUUCGAGGAAGAUGAGCAAGAAGAAGUGCAAGGACUAGGAAUUUCGGUGUUAACAGAGAGAGGUGCAACUGAAAGUCCAAUUGUUUUGUAAAUUGUUACAAGCUCAGUUGAUGGUCACAAGGAGAAGGAACUUAGCAUAAAAGAAUUCAAGUCGCCUUUGGAAGACCCUAAAAGAACAGAUCGUGCUCCAUAUAGGCCUCCACACUUGCGUAAAAGGGACAUUUCAGCUUGGAGUUCUCCUAGUUCCUCAGAUCAUGAAUCUUCUAGACAAGAUUUUACAUCUGAUGAUUCAGUCUUCAGCGAUAGCGAUGCAUCAGUUAAAGAUACUAACAGUGCUCUGAAAUUAAGGGUUAGAAUAGCAGCAUUGGAUUGCAUCAAGUUAAUUUAUUUCUAGGAUCUUUGUCAAGUUGAUUCUAAAUCAUUUACUACUCAAUGGACAUUGCUCUUGCCAACCUGUGAUGUAUUACAACCAAGGAAGUUUGAAGCAACUCUGAUGACAUGCUUGCUAUUUGACCCUUAUUUGAAGGUAUAUAUUGCUGCUCUUUUUUGGGAAAUUUGUUUAAGUUAAGAACCUAAAAUAUUAUGAUUUCCUUUUUUAGUGUUCCUUGCUAACUCUUGAAUCCAUGAUACCUAAGCACGGAUUGCAUCUGCCUCAACUCUGGUAGUCAUGUUGGAUGGACCUUCUUCAGUUUUUUUGCAGGUAGCAAAAUACAAGGAACCUUCAAAAUCUGUAUCUUUCACAGCACUUUCAAUUUCCUUGGGGCAUAUCUUGAUGCAGUUGCAUCCAGAUAUUCAAGAAUGACUGCUGAACUGUUGCCAACAUUUAUAACAUCUAUACAAAAAAGGAUUGAAGUCGGUUUCCUAUCAAAAAUGACCAGAAAGGUCUACUGUAUGUACAAGUAUCCAAGUCUCUACUGAGGACAUUGCGUGCGAUGAAGCAGUUGACCAUCAGGAAUUUCUAGAUGAUGAAAAAUCUCAGUCUCUGAAUCAAUCUUGUGAUUCUACAACCGUGGGACAAAUGCCAUGCUUUACCACACGACUGGAGACUAUUUUUUCUCCUUAUUUGGAGUCCAUUGAUGUUCGUAGUGAAGCAAAUAAGGACAGUGAUGCAGGUUUGAGCAUUCAAUACUAACCAAUUUCUUUAAGUUGUCUGCUGCAGUAUGUAGUGACAAGUAUCCCAACAUUUCUUGGUUAGAAGCAGAUGAAAGUGAUGAUAAUAGAAGUUCAGGUGACUAUCAAUAUUGUGAUGUGUCAGAGUUCUACAUUUCUGACGUGAUCGUGUCAGACUUUACCUUUAGCAGAACUACAUUCAAUGAACUAACGAAUCAAAUUGCUUUGCUAAUUAAGAGCAUCCAGAGCCAAACAUGCUAUUAGGUGUUCCUGAGCAAUUUUGUGUUCUACCUUUACUAGAGGACUCUAUUAGAAGCAGUAGUGCCAAUGAUGAGAAAUCAGAUGAACAAGCAAUGAUGGAUCCAAUUUCUAAUCCAAUUCAUUGCCCAAGGAAACUUCAAGAAGGAAGCUUAUAACUCUAGUACUUGAUUUGGAUGGUUAAGGCAAAGGCAAGUUGGACCAAUCCUGAGAUGGAGGGCUCCAGGGCUGAAUGUACAUAGUCAGCUGUUCGGCCGCAAUGGUCGAGGAGUGGGUCAGGACAAGGAAUGCCUAACAGUCUGUUUUGCCUUAGAGUGGCUAAUUAUUGUAUUUAAAUCUUGAAUCUUUGUAAAUGAUUCUAAUCUUGUUAUUUCUGGGAUCCCAUGUAAACAGAAAAUGUUUAUUUAAAAGAAAUGUGGCUUUUGAGACCAAAAUAUUUUAACCCUAGUUCCACUAUAGUUUUAGUAACAUGUUUUAAUUAAAUGACCUGAUUAGCAAGUCUAACACCUUUAUAAACACAUAGUGUAACAGUCUUGGCUAUCCAGGGCGUUAUAGUUUUAUUUCCUUUUUUUAACAAGUGUUAAUUUUAUGAAGAGGAACAACCUUUUCCUAUUGUUUUUACUUUCCCAUAAAGGAAUAUCUGUUUGACUAUAUAAUUGAUAUUUAACCUCCCAUUUUCAUACAUGCAGAAAAACUUGUCCAUUCUACAUUGG